AUGGCGCUCAGGGCUGUUUUAGGUGCUGCCUUCAGGGGCGUUCGAUCUGCCCGCCAGCACUCUCUGGGGGUCACCAGGUACCCCGUUGACCCCAUCUCUGUCUGCUAUUUCACCAGCGCUAGAUCUGCCCAGGUUCACCCUUCGUUGUUGCAUUUCAGGACUGUGGAGGUAUCUGGUCCCAAGAUCUCUGCGUCCCGCUCCCCUUGGCUCGUUGGUUCCCGGUUCUUCUCCACUAAGGAAUCGGACACUCUUCUCAGGGAAAGUAUUAAGAAUGGAGUCCACAGGGGGUUAAAGGAAGCCCUUGCCAAAAAUGAUGGCAAAUCAGUUUUAAAGCUCUCUGUAAUUAAAUCUGGUGUGAAUGCUGGGGUUAAGGAAUCUCUGAAGGAAUACCAUGUUUUCAUUGACUUUGCUGAAUCCGAUUUGCGUCCUGAGGUUAAGUCGGCCAUUGAGGAGUCCGUGCUUCAAGGUCUUGAUAACUUUGUGCUUCAGUUGCACAAGGUACCACCCCAGGGAGGACAGCUAAAGGGCCCUUACCUUCUUAAGUUAGCUCUUAAGGAAGCUAUUGAUGAAGGGAUGGAUGUGAUUUAUCAAAAGUUCAGUGUUUAUGUUGGUCGAGGCGUGGACCUUCUCGUCAGGGACCUCGCAUUGAUCAAGGAGCAGACCAAGGGUACUGAUUUUGUUCAGGCUUGGUGUUCCCGCCUUGCCCAUCAGUGGCUUAACAAAGGUUUCAUAAAUUUUGUGGAUAAAUCGUGGACGAUUCUCCCGUAUGUUGCCGGCGUGUACCUGUUCGUCCUCUUUGUGAAGACCCUUGUUGAGAGUGGCAUACCACCCUGGGAAUACCCUGAUUUUCUCAACUUCUACCGCGUUUAUGGGCUCACCUCGGCCAUCGCCUUCUACCAGGAUGAAAAGAAGAAAAAGGAGGAGGCGGCGGCUGCUGGCGAGAAGUAG
rnacentral:rRNA from 1 species